GAUGAUUUUGGAUCCGACUGAGUGGCGAACUGGUGAGUAACACGUGGGUAACCUGCCCAGAAGAAGGGGAUAACACCUGGAAACAGAUGCUAAUACCGUAUAACAACAAGAACCACAUGGUUCUUGUUUGAAAGCUGGCCUUUGUGCUAGUGCUUCUGGAUGGACCCGCGGCGUAUUAGCUAGUUGGUGAGAUAAUAGCUCACCAAGGCAAUGAUACGUAGCAGACCUGAGAGGGUAAUCUGCCACAAUGGGACUGAGACACGGCCCAUACUCCUACGGGAGGCAGCAGUAGGGAAUCUUCCACAAUGGACGAAAGUCUGAUGGAGCAACGCCGCGUGAGUGAAGAAGGGUUUCGGCUCGUAAAACUCUGUUGUUAGAGAAGAACAGCCGUGAGAGCAACUGCUCACGGUAUGACGGUAUCUAACCAGAAAGUCACGGCUAACUACGUGCCAGCAGCCGCGGUAAUACGUAGGUGGCAAACGUUGUCCGGAUUUAUUGGGCGUAAAGGGAGCGCAGGCGGUUUAUUAAGUCUGAUGUGAAAGCCUUCGGCUUAACCGGAGAAGUGCAUCGGAAACUGAUAAACUUGAGUGCAGAAAAGGAUAGUGGAACUUCAUGUGUAGCGGUGAAAUGCGUAGAUAUAUGAAGGAACACCAGUGGCGAAGGCGGCUAUCUGGUCUGUAACUGACGCUGAGGCUCGAAAGCAUGGGUAGCAAACAGGAUUAGAUACCCUGGUAGUCCAUGCCGUAAACGAUGAAUGCUAGGUGUUGGAAGGUUUCCGCCUUUCAGUGCCGCAGCUAACGCAUUAAGCAUUCCGCCUGGGGAGUACGACCGCAAGGUUGAAACUCAAGGAAUUGACGGGGACCCGCACAAGCGGUGGAGCAUGUGGUUUAUUCGAUGCUACGCGAAAACCUUACCAGGACUUGACAUCUUCUGCCAU
rnacentral:rRNA from 2 species